rnacentral:rRNA from 1 species
UACGUAGGAGGCAAGCGUUAUCCGGAAUGACUGGGCGUAAAGGGUGCGUAGGUGGUUUGAUAAGUUGGUAGCGUAAUUCCGAGGCUCAACCUCGGCGCUACUACCAAAACUGUCGGACUUGAGUGCAGGAGAGGUAAGCGGAAUUCCUAGUGUAGCGGUGAAAUGCGUAGAUAUUAGGAGGAACACCAGUGGCGAAGGCGGCUUACUGGACUGUAACUGACGUUGAGGCUCGAAAGCGUGGGGAGCAAACAGG